rnacentral:rRNA from 1 species
UACGUAGGGUGCAAGCGUUAUUCGGAAUUACUGGGCGUAAAGCGUGCGCAGGCGGCUUUGCAAGACAGAUGUGAAAUCCCCGGGCUUAACCUGGGAACUGCAUUUGUGACGGCAUGGCUAGAGUGCGGCAGAGGGGGAUGGAAUUCCGCGUGUAGCAGUGAAAUGCGUAGAUAUGGGGAGGAACACCGGUGGCGAAGGCGGCCAUCUGGACGGAUACUGACGCUGAGACGCGAAAGCGUGGGUAGCAAACAGG